rnacentral:rRNA from 1 species
UACAGAGGUCUCAAGCGUUGUUCGGAAUUACUGGGCGUAAAGCGCGCGCAGGCGGUUUUCCAAGUCAGUGGUGAAAGCCCGGAGCUCAACUCCGGAAAUGCCAUUGAAACUGUAAAACUUGAGGACGAGAGAGGUGAGUGGAAUUCCCAGUGUAGAGGUGAAAUUCGUAGAUAUUGGGAAGAACACCGGUGGCGAAGGCGGCUCACUGGCUCGUUUCUGACGCUCAGGCGCGAUAGCGUGGGGAUCAAACAGG